UACAGAGGGGGCAAGCGUUAUUCGGAAUUAUUGGGCGUAAAGGGCGCGUAGGCGGCCUGGCAAGUGGAAGGUGAAAUCCCUCGGCUUAACCGAGGAACUGCCCUCCAAACUGCUUGGCUUGAGUCCGGGAGAGGUGAGUGGAAUUCCCAGUGUAGCGGUGAAAUGCGUAGAUAUUGGGAGGAACACCAGUGGCGAAGGCGGCUCACUGGACCGGAACUGACGCUGAGGCGCGAAAGCGUGGGGAGCAGACGGG
rnacentral:rRNA from 1 species